rnacentral:piRNA from 1 species
UGUUUCUAUGUACUACCCAUGGAAGCCUA